rnacentral:rRNA from 1 species
UGCCUGGCAGUUCCCUACUCUCGCAUGGGAGACCCCACACUACCAUCGGCGCUACGGCGUUUCACUUCUGAGUUCGGCAUGGGGUCAGGUGGGACCACCGCGCUACGGCCGCCA